GAUGAACGCUGGCGGCGUGCCUAACACAUGCAAGUCGAGCGAUUCUCUUCGGAGAAGAGCGGCGGACGGGUGAGUAACGCGUGGGUAACCUGCCCUGUACACACGGAUAACAUACCGAAAGGUAUGCUAAUACGAGAUAAUAUGCUUUUAUCGCAUGGUAGAAGUAUCAAAGCUUUUGCGGUACAGGAUGGACCCGCGUCUGAUUAGCUAGUUGGUAAGGUAACGGCUUACCAAGGCGACGAUCAGUAGCCGACCUGAGAGGGUGAUCGGCCACAUUGGAACUGAGACACGGUCCAAACUCCUACGGGAGGCAGCAGUGGGGAAUAUUGCACAAUGGGCGAAAGCCUGAUGCAGCAACGCCGCGUGAGCGAUGAAGGCCUUCGGGUCGUAAAGCUCUGUCCUCAAGGAAGAUAAUGACGGUACUUGAGGAGGAAGCCCCGGCUAACUACGUGCCAGCCGCCGCAGUAA
rnacentral:rRNA from 1 species